UCUUUUUUUUCCCCUCGCCUUCAUCAUGACCAUGUGACUCAUCCGUUUCCUUAGAGACAGCAGCGAUGUAGUGCACUAAGAUGCUCAGCCAGUGGAGCAGGAGUCAGGAGCACGUUCAGCGCUCAGGCAGCUCACAGGGUUGCGGGAGACCACCUAUCCCGACAGGGGCUUCCUACACGAACAAGUUUUGGUCGCAGCCCAGUGAUAUGAAUGACACCAUGAUGAUGUCUUCUGGGGCAGGUGCCUCUCCACAAAGCGUCCUGGACAGUCCGAGCCGACUGGACGAGGAGCACCAGCUGAUUGCCCAAUACGCUGCCCGCCUGGCGGCCGAGUCCGCCAACUCCGCCCUCCACCCGAUGUCUGAUUUGGGCUUCAGCUUUGAUGCCACCAAGCAGCAGAGGCAACUUAUCGCUGAACUGGAAAACAAAAACAGGGAGAUGCUGCAGGAGAUCCAGCGGCUUCGUGCGGAGCACGAACAGGCCUCCCAGCGAACCCCGGAGAAGGCCCAGCAGAACCCCGCGCUCCUGGCCGAGCUUCGCCACCUCAGGCAGCGGAAGGAUGAGCUGGAGCAGCGCAUGUCGGCCCUGCAGGGCAGCCGGAGGGAGCUGGUGGUGCAGCUGGAGGGGCUCAUGAGGCUGCUCGAGGAUGAAGAGCAGAGGCAGGAAGUGGGCGACUUCACCGUCCAGGGGGUUGGCUCAUCGAACCCCUCACCAAGCCACAGUGCUGGCCAUGCCACAUUCACCCUAGAGCAUUCUACGUCUGACAGAUCCACCCAAGAAGCUUCAGUUACGGAGACUUCCCUGUCUUCCCUGAUGAAAGAACUUGACUUUGAUGAUGACAGUGAGGAAGAAGAAAAGUCAUGUAACAGUCAAAGCAUGUGAGUUUCACCAGAGUGGCCCAGACAUAUCAAACUUAAUGUGUUAAUCUUCUAAUUCCAUGUUGCUGUUCGACUUAAAAUUGUUUGUUUGUGUUAACAGAGAGAAUACACCCAGCGAGUUAUGACUAACUCCUUGUCGACUUUGUACAGAUGAAGCUGAAAAAAAUAAAGCAAAGCAGAACUUCCAAGCACCCUGAGUGGACUAAAGAAAAAUGAGAAGAGGAAAUUCAUACCAUCCAUUAACUAUAACCCAAGACCACUAUGUGACCUGGAAAAGAUGUAAUGCAUGAUUUUUAAAAUAAUGUUACAGUGUAAUAAGAUUUGUAACACCAAGUUGUGGCAGCUAGAUGUAUGUCUGUAUGAGUGGAUGGCCCUAAUCUAACGGGUCCAAUGGUAUUGUUCUCUACUACAAGUGAAGAGGUGAAGAUAUUUUUGCUUUUUAUUUAUUUUUACAUUUUUUCCAUCUUGUAAGUGGUCCAGGAUCAUUACAAGACCCAUAAAAUGGAUUUCUUUAACUUUGUCCCUCCAUCUCCACUAGGAAGGAUAAUAUAGAACUCACAAGCCUUGGUUUGUCUGAUUUUGGCCCAAGUCACAGCAAGCCGCUUCCAGAACAUACUGCAGCUUUACGGUUUUUGAGCAUCGCUGAGCAACGGUGUCACCGAAUUGCCAGCCCUUUUGCAGGCUUUCAGUGUUCAGUGCGUUCAGUGACGCAUUCUCCAAACUGCACAGCCACUAUACACCCCAGGAACCACGAUCCACACCAAGCGACAUAAAUAGCCUGGCCUGCGAUUACAUAAGACUGCACGGUGAAGGGCAUUGUAUAAAAGGUACUAUGUUUUGCAAAGAAUAACUGACAAAAGUCACCCACAUUGCACCCCAAAGGGAUUUACAGUGCAACUAUUUGGGUGACUAUCAUCAUCAUUUAAUGUCUGCCUGCCAAAACGAUGACAUCAGAUGAACAAACAAACUGUGCUGCAUAAAUGUGUCUGUUUCUGAAGCUCUUUGUCUGUUGUGAAAGACAU